ensembl:lncRNA
AGCCAACCCUGUUGUGGGGAAUCAGAGAAGGUAUCUCAAAUGGGAAGUCCAAUCUGGGUGCUUAGAGAUGUGUAAGAGUGAGCCAGGCGAAAGGAGGUGAACGUUCUCAGCUUCUCCUGAUUUGUUAACUUGGAAGUCAUAUUCUUUGUCUACCCCAAAGGACUACAGGGCCAAUGAGAACAGAAACUGCUUUCGUUCUGCCCCAACACACAACAGAAACAGAAGAACUGAAACCUCAGCUGAGGCUUCUGCUCUCGCAUUUCAGUAUCUCUUAUGACGUGGAAGAGCUGAGCGAUGCUUCUAAGGAGACAGAACUUUUUGCCUUGGUUUCCCCAAAAUUUCAAAGCAUCUUCAUGGAACAACAGAGAAUGCAAACGUUUCCAGACUAUAAUGCUGGGAUAGCUAAAGUGGAAAAUUUGAAUUUGGCAGGACCUCGUAGGGCCUUGAAAAAGGGAGCCAACUGGACUUCCUUUAUAAAGUACUUUGGCCACCUCAUGCGAAGAGUUGACUCAUUGGAAAAGACUCUGAUGCUGGGAGGGAUUGGGGGCAAGAGGAGAAGGGGACGACAGAGGAUGAGAUGCCUGGAUGGCAUAACUGACUCGAUGGACAUUAAGCCAAAAUGUGAUCCUUGGCAAAAGAAGCUUUUGACCAAACUAAAAGAACGGAGAAGAAUAGAUGUAUUAAUGCAACUCCAAGCAAAGUUUUUGAAGAAUGAAAACACUAAGGAAGAUGACCUUUCAGUGCAACGAGAUGAAAAUGACCCAGCACUAAUAAAUCUUAGCCAGUGUGCUAAUAAGCCUGUGAAGCAGAAGAAAGAGACAGGGUAAAAUGAAAUCACUUAAUGGUGACUCAAGAAAAUGGAUUAAACACUGGGAAAAAAC